rnacentral:rRNA from 1 species
UACGUAGGGACCGAGCGUUGUCCGGAAUUACUGUGCGUAAAGCGCGUGUAGGCGGAUGAGCAAGUCUGCUGUGAAAGCUCCUGGCUUAACCGGGAGUGGUCGGUGGAAACUGCUCGUCUGGAGGACGGUAGAGGUAGGUAGAAUUCCCGGUGUAGUGGUGAAAUGCGUAGAGAUCGGGAGGAAUACCUGUGGCGAAGGCGGCCUACUGGGCCGGACCUGACGCUGAGACGCGAAGGCGUGGGGAGCGAACGGG